rnacentral:rRNA from 1 species
GACGAACGCUGGCGGCGUGCUUAACACAUGCAAGUCGAACGGAAAGACCCUGCAUUUGUGGGGUGCUCGAGUGGCGAACGGGUGAGUAACACGUGAGUAACCUGCCCUUGACUGUGGGAUAACUUCAGGAAACUGGGGCUAAUACCGGAUAGGAGCUCCUGCUGCAUGGAGGGGGGGGGAAAGUUUCGGCGGUUGGGGAUGGACUCGCGGCUGAUCAGCUUGUUGGUGGGGUAGUGGCUUACCAAGGCGUUGACGGGUAGCCGGCCUGAGAGGGUGACCGGCCACAUUGGGACUGAGGUACGGCCCAGUCUCCUACGGGAGGCAGCAGUGGGGAAUAUUGCACAAUGGGCGGAAGCCUGAUGCAGCAACGCCGCGUGCGGGAUGACGGCCUUCGGGUUGUAAACCGCUUUCGCCUGUGACGAAGCGUGAGUGACGGUAAUGGGUAAAGAAGCACCGGCUAACUACGUG